rfam:Neotoma lepida isolate 417 scaffold_341, whole genome shotgun sequence.
GGAGAGAUGGCUCAGUGGUUAAGAGCACUGGCUGCUCUUCCAGAGGACCUGGGUUCAAUUCCCAGCACCC